CAAGUAAGGGGCGAGCGUUGUUCGGAAUUAUUGGGCGUAAAGGGCGCGUAGGCGGUCCUGUAAGCCCGGCGUGAAAACCUGGAGCUCAACUCCGGGCCUGCGCUGGGAACUGCGGGACUAGAGUCAUGGAAGGGAAGUUGGAAUUCCAGGUGUAGGGGUGAAAGCUGUAGAUAUCUGGAAGAACACCGGUGUCGAAGGCGAACUUCUGGCCAAUGACUGACGCUGAGGCGCGAAAGUGCGGGGAGCAAACAGG
rnacentral:rRNA from 1 species